rnacentral:rRNA from 1 species
UGUAGGAUAGGUGGGAGGCUUUGAAGUGUGGACGCCAGUCUGCAUGGAGCCGACCUUGAAAUACCACCCUUUAAUGUUUGAUGUUCUAACGUGGACCCGUAAUCCGGGUUGCGGACAGUGUCUGGUGGGUAGUUUGACUGGGGCGGUCUCCUCCUAAAGAGUAACGGAGGAGCACGAAGGUUGGCUAAUCCUGGUCGGACAUCAGGAGGUUAGUGCAAUGGCAUAAGCCAGCUUGACUGCGAGCGUGACGGCGCGAGCAGGUGCGAAAGCAGGUCAUAGUGAUCCGGUGGUUCUGAAUGGAAGGGCCAUCGCUCAACGGAUAAAAGGUACUCCGGGGAUAACAGGCUGAUACCGCCCAAGAGUUCAUAUCGACGGCGGUGUUUGGCACCUCGAUGUCGGCUCAUCACAUCCUGGGGCUGAAGUAGGUCCCAAGGGUAUGGCUGUUCGCCAUUUAAAGUGGUACGCGAGCUGGGUUUAGAACGUCGUGAGACAGUUCGGUCCCUAUCUGCCGUGGGCGCUGGAGAACUGAGGGGGGCUGCUCCUAGUACGAGAGGACCGGAGUGGACGCAUCACUGGUGUUCGGGUUGUCAUGCCAAUGGCACUGCCCGGUAGCUAAAUGCGGAAGAGAUAAGUGCUGAAAGCAUCUAAGCACGAAACUUGCCCCGAGAUGAGUUCUCCCUGAGACUUAGAGUCUCCUGAAGGAACGUUGAAGACGACGACGUUGAUAGGCCGGGUGUGUAAGCGCAGCGAUGCGUUGAGCUAACCGGUACUAAUGAACCGUGAGGCUUAACCUU